rnacentral:rRNA from 1 species
GACGAACGCUGGCGGCGUGCUUAACACAUGCAAGUCGAACGGUGAAGCGCCUUCCUUUUUGGUGGGUGUGGAUGAGUGGCGAACGGGUGAGUAACACGUGAGUAACCUGCCCCCUUCUUCUGGAUAACCGCAUGAAAGUGUGGCUAAUACGGGAGAUUCUGGGUCUGUCGCAUGAUGGGUCUGGGAAAGAUAUUGUUUCGGUGGGGGAUGGUCUCGCGGCCUAUCAGCUUGUUGGUGGGGUGAUGGCCUACCAAGGCGGUGACGGGUAGCUGGCCUGGGAGGGUGGACGGUCACAGAGGUACGGAGAGACCGCGCAGCCUCCUACGGGAGGCAGCAGUGAGGAAUAGUGCACAGUGGGAGGAAGGCUGAUGCAGCGACGCGGCGUGGGAGAUGGAGUCCUGAGUGUUGUGAACCUCUUUUGGCAGUGAAGCGGGGUUGCCUAGUUUGUUGGUGGGUUGACGGUACCUGGAUAAGAAGCGCCGGCUAACUACGUG